GAAACCAACAGGGAUUGCCUUAGUAACGGCGAGUGAAGCGGCAAAAGCUCAAAUUUGAAAUCUGGCACCUUCGGUGUCCGAGUUGUAAUUUGAAGAAGGUAACUUUGGAGUUGGCUCUUGUCUAUGUUCCUUGGAACAGGACGUCACAGAGGGUGAGAAUCCCGUGCGAUGAGAUGCCCAAUUCUAUGUAAAGUGCUUUCGAAGAGUCGAGUUGUUUGGGAAUGCAGCUCUAAGUGGGUGGUAAAUUCCAUCUAAAGCUAAAUAUUGGCGAGAGACCGAUAGCGAACAAGUACAGUGAUGGAAAGAUGAAAAGAACUUUGAAAAGAGAGUGAAAAAGUACGUGAAAUUGUUGAAAGGGAAGGGCUUGAGAUCAGACUUGGUAUUUUGCGAUCCUUUCCUUCUUGGUUGGGUUCCUCGCAGCUUACUGGGCCAGCAUCGGUUUGGAUGGUAGGAUAAUGACUAAGGAAUGUGGCUCUACUUCGGUGGAGUGUUAUAGCCUUGGUUGAUACUGCCUGUCUAG
rnacentral:rRNA from 1 species